UGGGGAAUUUUGGACAAUGGGGGAAACCCUGAUCCAGCCAUCCCGCGUGUGCGAUGAAGGCCUUCGGGUUGUAAAGCACCUUUGGCAGGGAAGAAACGUCAUGGGUUAAUACCCCGUGAAACUGACGGUACCUGCAGAAUAAGCAACGGCUAACUACGUGCCAGCAGCCGCGGUAAUACGUAGGGUGCAAGCGUUAAUCGGAAUUACUGGGCGUAAAGCGUGCGCAGGCGGUUCGGAAAGAAAGACGUGAAAUCCCAGAGCUCAACUUUGGAACUGCAUUUUUAACUACUGGGCUUGGGUGUGUCCGAGGGAGGUGGAAUUGCGGGUGUAGCAGUGAAAUGCGUAGAUAUGCUGAGGAACACCGAUGGCGAAGGCAGCCUCCUGGGAUAACACUGACGCUCAUGCACGAAAGCGUGGGGAGCAAACAGG
rnacentral:rRNA from 1 species